rnacentral:rRNA from 1 species
CUACGGGACGCUCCAGUGAGGAAUAUUGCACAAUGGGGGGAACCCUGAUGCAGCAACGCCGCGUGGAGGAUGACGCAUUUCGGUGUGUAAACUCCUUUUAUAUGUCAAGAAAAUGACGGUAGCAUAUGAAUAAGCACCGGCUAACUCCGUGCCAGCAGCCGCGGUAAUACGGAGGGUGCAAGCGUUACUCGGAAUCACUGGGCGUAAAGGGAGCGUAGGCGGGUUGGAAAGUCAGGUGUGAAAUCCUACAGCUUAACUGUAGAACUGCACUUGAAACUUCUAAUCUAGAGUAUGGGAGGGGGAGAUGGAAUUAGUGGUGUAGGGGUAAAAUCCGUAGAUAUCACUAGGAAUACCUAAAGCGAAGGCGAUCUCCUGGAACAUUACUGACGCUAAGGCGUGAAAGCGUGGGGAGCAAACAGGAUUAGAUACCCUUGUAGUC